UGGGGAAUAUUGCACAAUGGGCGCAAGCCUGAUGCAGCCAUGCCGCGUGUGUGAAGAAGGCCUUCGGGUUGUAAAGCACUUUCAGCGAGGAGGAAGGUGGUGAACUUAAUACGUUCAUCAAUUGACGUUACUCGCAGAAGAAGCACCGGCUAACUCCGUGCCAGCAGCCGCGGUAAUACGGAGGGUGCAAGCGUUAAUCGGAAUUACUGGGCGUAAAGCGCACGCAGGCGGUUUGUUAAGUCAGAUGUGAAAUCCCCGGGCUCAACCUGGGAACUGCAUUUGAAACUGGCAAGCUAGAGUCUCGUAGAGGGGGGUAGAAUUCCAGGUGUAGCGGUGAAAUGCGUAGAGAUCUGGAGGAAUACCGGUGGCGAAGGCGGCCCCCCUGGACGAAGACUGACGCUCAGGUGCGAAAGCGUGGGGAGCAAACAGAUUAGAUACCCUGGUAGUCACGCUGUAAACGAUGUCGAUUUGGAGGUUGUGCCCCUUGAGGCGUGGCUUCCGGAGCUAACGCGUUAAAUCGACCGCCUGGGGAGUACGG
rnacentral:rRNA from 1 species